ensembl:lncRNA
AGAGAUGGGAGCUAGAGAGAAAGACAGAUGAAGGGAAGGAAGAGGAGGAUGAAAGAGUGAAGGAAGAAUAGAGGGGGCGAGAGGAGGAAAGAGAGGGAGCUAGAUAGAAAGACCAACAGAGGGACCGAGAGGAAGAGAGCGAGCGAGAGUCCGAGAGAGACCGAGAAGGUGAACGAAAGGAGGAGGAGAGAGGAAAGAGGACGAGAGAGAGAAAUAAGGAGGUAGACGGAUAGGUAGUAGGAAAAGAGAGAGAGAAAGAGGAGGAUGAAAUAAGGAGAGUGAAAGAAUAAUAGAGAGGGCGAGAGGAGGGGAGAGAGAGAGAGAGAGGAGGGGGAGUGGCAGAGAAAGUGAAAGAUGAAGAGAGAGAGAGAGAGAGAGAGAGAAAGGAGGGGUGAGAGAGAGAGAGAGAGAGAGAGAGAGAGAGGGAGGGGAAAAAGUGGACACAAGUGGAGAAAAGUGUAAUCGGAAACCAUCCCUCCUUCUGUCGCUUCCUCAUCUCUCUCGCUCUCUCUCUCUCUCUCUUUCUCUCUCUCAGUAUGGAAUAGCUCAGCUCUUGGCUCACUCGUCUCUCUGAGUGAGUGUGUGUGUGAGUGUGUGGACGUUACUGACUGACCGGGACUCAGCUGCUGGAACUGAAACUCUUCUCAGAGGAGUCGUACUUCAGAGGAUUCAGAAUUCAGGACGAGCCCCGGGGAAGAGUGUGAAGGUCAGAGGUCAUGGGAAGGUCACCAGGGUCGGAGGUUCCUCUCCUCCUCCUCUUCAUCUCCUUCGUCUCCUCUCUCUCUCCGCCGCUGCCCAGAGUCUUCCUCCCCUUUCAAGAUUACCGCCCCCUCCUGGUCUGGAGAGCAUUCAGGCGUAUUAUCAACAACAAAAUAGUACUAAAGAUUCUCGAUGCUGGUUUGGAACUAAACCGUUGUAAAAAAAAGCGCCACGUUUCUCUCGAGCUCGACUGAACUUGGACGAGGCACUUAUCCAAAAGGUCACGUUAAUGACAGCUCAUCAAACGAAGCGUUUAGGAGCGUGCCGGCUGUUCCUGGAUCCGUUAAAGCUUUUUUUUUUUUUUUUUUGGAUAACAAUCUGCCCACAGAUCAGCAAUCCUGAUUCCGUCGUGUGAAUGAAAGGCCAUAUGUGCAGUCUGGAGAAGUGUUUAAAGGAAAUUAAAGAUCCGGGAAAGAACGGAGACGAUGAUGAACCUCAGGGUCUCGGCUAUGUCUCACUUCACUGAGUAAUUAUUAAAACAUGCUGCUUACACACACGGCGUGACCGGAGCGUGCUCGCGUGUCUGUGUGUGUGUGUGUGUGUGUGUGUGUAUGUCUGAGUGUGUGUCUGAGUGUGUCAUGACUGAUUCAGAAGUGGCUUUCAGAAGUUUAGUUUUGUUUUAAUCAUCAUUGCUUAUCCCAGGAGGGGUUUGGGGUUGAAACGAUUGAAAUGAUUUUGUGUGUGUUGGUGAAGGGCAGGGUCACCGGCCAGGCAGCUGUCCCAUGAGGAUGGGGACACCUAUCAGGUAGCUCAUCAGGGCGUGGCCCAAUCAGUCCAUCAGGGCAUGGCUACAUCUUAAUCAGUCCUUCAGGGCGGGGCUACAGCUUAAUCAGUCCAUCAGGGCGGGGCUACAGCUUAAUCAGUCCAUCAGACUGUGACCACAGAUUAAUCAGUCCAUCAGGGCGUGGCUAAAGAUGAAUCAGUCUGUCAGGGUGUGGCUACAGCUUAAUCAGUCUAUUGGGGCGUGGCUACAGAUUAAUCAGUCUAUCAGGGUGUGGCUACAGAUUAAUCAGUCUAUCAGGGCGUGGCUACAGAUUAAUCAGUCUAUCAGGGCGUGGCUACAGAUUAAUCAGUCUAUCAGGGCGUGGCUACAGAUUAAUCAGUCUAUCAGGGCGUGGCUACAGAUUAAUCAGUCUAUCAGGGCAUGGCUACAGAUUAAUCAGUCUAUCAGGGCGUGGCUACAGCUUAAUCAGUUAUCAGGGCGUGACGACAUCUUAAACAGUCAGUCAGGGCGAGACUACAGCUUAAUCAGUCUAUCAGGGCGUGGCUACAGAUUAAUCAUAAACCAUAAUGAACUUUCUUUCACUCUCACACUAUCCGUCGUUACCCAGACGAAGACGGGUUUCCUCCUGAGUCCGGUUCCUCUCAAGGUUUCUUCCUCAUAUCAUCUCAGGGAGUUUUUCCUCACCACCGUCACCACCGUCUCGCUCAAUAGGGAUAAACUCCAUCCAUCCAUCCAUCCAUCCACACUUACAAUCUCUAUCCUGUGUUUAUAUAUUUCUGUAAAGCUGCUUUAAGACAACGUCCUUUGUAAAAAGCACUACACAAAUAAAACUGAAUUGAAUUGAAUCAGAAUCUGUAGUGUACUAAUUAAAUAUUUGAAUAAAUAUUAAUUAUGUAUCACUUUGGUUAUUAUAAGAACCUAAAGGGGAUAGGUGUUAGAUAUAGAUGUUUACCGAAGUAGAAAUAAUUGACAUGCUAAUUUAUACGUUAACUGAUAAUCCAGAUGAUAGCUCCCAGUUCAUUUAUAUGAUCGUUUCCUUUACAUUGUAGAUCUUGGAUUUAGUUUUAAUCGUGAUUUAAAGUCCCGCCGUUAAUCUCGUUAUGAUUCGGGUUUAUGCUCGAAAUCAUUUUAUCGUGUCAAACAGAGAUCUCAUGGCUGUAGCAGACGUGUGCCAUAUAUCUUCCAGUAGGAGGUCUGCGGUAGUUCAUUCCAUUUGGAAACCCCGUCUCUCUGCUAUUAAACUGAUUCUGGGACCUUCUGUGGAAAGCGUGGUGGAGCUUCUGGAUCUUUUCCAGCUCGUAAAACUGGAGAAAGUGUGGAGCAGUGACUUUUAAGGCAGGUGAUUCAGUCGUUGUCCCAUGCUGUGGAGAGAGAUUUCCUCCAGCUCGUAAAAAGAGAGUGAUGAAAGGAAGGAGAGGUGCGGUGAGGAAAGGUGACGAGGUGUCAGGUGGGCCAGCACCUGCAGGGAAAACUUAGGAAAGUUCAAUUCAGUAGUUAGGAACGUUCGAAAUUGUCAUAAUAUUUCCAAAAAGUGGUUGAUUACCCUAAUGUGUUCACCUGUUCUGUGUUAAGCCUUUCAUUAGAUCAUCCAAAUCCAUCGUUCCCUUCCUGUUCUUUGACCUACACGAUGGACUACAAUGUUGAUUUGUGGACUCGCCCAAACACGCACUCGCGUCCUGCCUCUACCCGCACGAUACAGGAAUGCGUCAAUUUUCUAUCGUAUUAAAUUUAAUUGUGCUGUGAGUGUUUAAUUACAGUCCCCUGUGGGCGUGACAGCAGUAAAAGUUAAUGUCGUGCUUCUUGAGAGUACACUGUACAUGUUUUUGCUUCUGCUUCUCGUUGGGGCUUUUUCUUUUGUCUUUCCUUUUUUUUGUCCGCUGGUUACUGGUCAUGACGGUGAGCGUGAGCGGCAGAUUUCCCCGGGUGUAAUUCGUGUAUGCCUGGAUCGAGUGCAGCAGCUGAUCUAUUCUGUUGUACUGUUACUUGCAUCAAUGGCAGGGAUUUUGGUGCUAUGGUUCUGAGCCGUCUCGUGGCUCGGCCCUCUGCUCAUCUGUCCGUGCUUGCUUUGUGAAGCUCUUGUGGAUUCUGGGGAUAAAUGGAUCAUUCCAUGGAUCAGAGCGGUGGUUCCCGGUGGUGCCUGGUGAUGUCCAGUGGUGCCCAUUAGUGUGCAGUGAUGCCCAGUGUUGCCUGUUGGUGCCCAGUGUUGCUGUUGGUGUCCAGUGAUGCCUGCUUGUGUCCAGUGGUGCCCAGUGUUGCCUCUUGGUGUCCAAUGAUGCCUGUUGGUGUCCAGUGAUGCCCAGUGUUGCCUGUUGGUGUCCAGUGUUGCCUGCUGGUGUCCAGUGUUGUCUGUUGGUGUCCAGUGGUGUCCAGUGUUGCCUGCUGGUGUCCAGUGAUGCCUGCUGGUGUCCAGUGAUGCCUGCUGGUGUCCAGUGUUGUCUGUUGGUGUCCAGUGUUGUCUGUUGGAGUCCAGUGUUACCUGUUGGUGUCCAGUGGUGUCUGUUGGUGUCCAGUGGUGCCCAGUGGUGCCUGUUGGUGUCCAGUGUUGUCUGUUGGUGUCCAGUGAUGUGCAGUGUUGCCUGUUGGUGUCCAGUGUUGUCUGUUGGUGUCCAGUGGUGCCCAGUGGUGCCUGUUGGUGUCCAGUGUUGUCUGUUGGUGUCCAGUGGUGCCCAGUGUUGCCUGUUGGUGUCCAGUGAUGUGCGGUGUUGCCUGUUGGUGUCCAGUGUUGUCUGUUGGUGUCCAGUGAUGUGCAGUGUUGCCUGUUGGUGUCCAGUGUUGUUUGUUGGUGUCUAGUGAUGCCCAGUGUUGCCUGUUGGUGUCCAUUAUUGCCUGUUGGUUUCUAAUGAUGCCCAGUGGUGCCCAGUGUUGUCUGUUGGUGUCCAGUGAUGCCUGGUGGUGUCCAGUGAAAUUAUUGCACAUGUACUGUAUUUUAUUGAUACAAAUGCAAACGUAAGCCAUAAAGGAAAGCUGUACCAUUUGAUUUGUUUAAUUCUAUAUCUAAUUGUUGAGCUGAAGGUUUUUCUGUGGUUGUUAUUCUGAGAGGGAUUUCAUUGUAACUAAUAUGAAUGCUGGCACACACACUUCACUUACUGUACACUGUAAUAUAGAUUAUGUGUGUGUGUGUGUGUGUGUGUGUGUGUGUGUGUGUGUGUGCGUGCGGUGAGGUCUGGCUUUACAUUUCCAGCUGAAUCAUAGCGUUUACUGCUCCUGAGGUUUGGUUUGCCCCGUGUGGUAAAAGCAAAGUUCAGCCUUCAAACGCUUUAGUGGAAAUUCUUGGCAUGUUUUGAAGCCUGGAGAGAGAGAGAGAGAGAGAGAGAGAGAGGAGAGAGAGAGAGAGAGGAGAGAAAACAACAUCUGAUUUUUAUCUUAAUGACGGUCCAAAAAACUCCAUGUGAGCGUUUAUCCAGACCCGGUCGUGGAGAAGCAGAGAAGGUAAAACAUUCCUCAGAUUCCUCGGUGUGGAGAUCCAGUCUCUGUCGGCGCUUUACAUCUCACCUCACUGCGGUUAAUUAUAUUUCUGUUGUUGAUUAGAGUUUUAUAAGAUUAUAUUCAGCAUACAAGGAUCAUCAGAGGCCUUGUUUUUCACCGGGUUUUCCAUUGUACAUUCCCACCUCGAGAGUGUUCCUGCUAUCUCUAAUGUUAAAUAAACAUGGGAGCACAAGACUUCUAUGCUUCUGCUUUUAUAUAUAUAUAAAACUUUGUUUUUUAAAGCUAAAACUUUAUGUUUUGCUUGUAAAUACAACUACAGAAUGCCAUUUUGGGCCAAACUUAAACACAAAUAAAGCACUUGUAAUUCGCGGUGCGAGAGUCAAAUAUGCAGAUGACGUCAGACGAUCAGUUAAAACACAAAACCAGGACGCGGAUCUAAAAAAAAAAAACAACAGCAACAAGGCACUAUGAAGAACAAGACUUAUAGACUCAUGAAUACAACGGACAGGAAACAAAAAGACAAGGGUGCAAGUAGGCAAAGUAAUGAAGAAAACAGGUGCACACAAUCAGGUAACGAGCAAACUAUGGACCAGGAGGCGGAGACAGGACCAAAACCAAAACCGAAAGUCAGGAUGGUAUCCUCAACAAGUUCACGUCACGUGAUAUCAACAUGGCCAUUCUCACCAUCAACAAUAAAAAAAAAUAUCACUGCUCUGACUGUAAAUGAGAUUAUAGUAGUAUAAUCUCAUCGUGGCUCAGGUGGUAGAGCGGGUUGUCCACUAAUCCUAGGGUUGGCAGUUUGAUUCCCGGCCCAUAUGACUCUACAUGAAUCUACUUGACUCCACAUGACUCCGCGUGACUCCUCGUGACUCCCCGUGACUCCGCAUGACUUCGCAUGACUCCGCAUGACUUUGCAUGACUCCUCAUGACUUCGCAUGAAUCUGCAUGACUUCGCAGGACUCCUCAUUACUCCGCAUGACUCCUCAUGACUUCGCAUGAAUCUGCAUGACUUCGCAGGACUCCUCAUGACUCCGCAUGACUCCGCAUGACUCCUCAUGACUUCGCAUGAAUCUGCAUGACUUCGCAUGACUCCGCAUGACUUCGCAUGACUCCUCAUGACUUCGCAUGAAUCUGCAUGACUUCGCAGGACUCCUCAUGACUCCGCAUGACUCCGCAUGACUCCGCAUGAGUUCACAUGACUCCACAUGACUCCACAUGGCUCCUCAUGACUCACUGAACCUCAAGUUUCUCCCAAUGGCAUGCUAGCACCUUGCGUGGCAGCUCUGCUAAGGUUAAAAAAGCGCUAUACGAGUGCCGACCAUUUACCAUUUGCAUUAGAUCAUAAACAUACACACAUUCAUGGGUUAAAUCUAUAACACAGUUCUUAGAAUCUAAACCCAUCACUAAUCUGACAAACAUUAGCUGGCUAAUUUAACGUUCCGUAAUCCUGAAAGGCUCUAAAGCACAGCCAGCCUUCCUCACACACACUCCCACACUCCUGCCUCCUCCCUCUGUGGGUCAGACGGAAACGAUGCGCCCUUCUCAGUGCCCUGUUGAUUUAUUACGGCUCGUCAGAAAUCUGCUUCGCUAGUCAUUCUGACCUGAGCUCAGGAGCGCAGUGGGGACUCCCGCGGGUAUGCGGCUUCACGACUGUUUGACGUCCGAUCUCUGCAAAGCAUCCUGCGGUCUGAUGAAAUGCAGACGAAGCGUUUUUCCAUGCGGAAGAUGCCAGAAGUCUUAGCGAGAGCUUCUCUGGAGCUCCUGCGUUUAAUGAUGAGAGGAAACACUGACACCGUGAACUAUAAUAAGUUGAUUUAAAUUUAGGACAAAAAAGCAGGGAAUGUUCCGGAAGAGGCAUAAGGAAAGAAUGUUCAUUUGUUUUCAGGUUUCUAACGGCGACUCGUAUCGGGUAUUUCAGACCAAGCUGUGUUUAAAUGUCCACCACAGUGUAGAAAAUUACACCUCAAGAAAACAAGACAUCUCCUUGUCCGUGUUGUUUCUUCUUUUUGCUUUGUCAUCAUGAGUGAGUCAGGGUGGGUUUUUUUUGCACAAUGUUCGAGGUUCCUAGGUGCAAAAUGUAAAUGGUCUGCACUUAUAUAGCUCUUUCUUUACCUUUGCGGUGCUACAAAGCGUUUUACACUGGUUCUCAUUCACACACACACCAAUGGUAGCAGAACUGCCAUGCAAGGCGCUGGCUUGCUAUCGGGAGCAACUUGGGUUCAGGGAGUCGUGUGGAGUCGUGUGGAGUCGUGUGGAAUCGUGGUGGAGUCCUGUGGAGUCGUGUGGAGUCCCGUGGAGUCGUGUGGAGUCGUGUGGAGUCGUGUGGAGUCGUGUGGAGUCCCGUGGAGUCGUGUGGAGUCGUUGUGGAGUCGUGUGGAGUCCCGUGGAGUCGUGUGGAGUCGUGUGGAGUCCUGUGGAGUCGUGUGGAGUCCCAUGGAGUCGUGUGGAGUCCCGUGGAGUCCCGUGGAGUCGUGUGGAGUCCCGUGGAGUCCCGUGGAGUCCCGUGGAGUCGUGUGGAGUCCUGUGGAGUCGUGUGGAGUCGUGUGGAGUCCUGUGGGCUGGGAAUCCAACCGCCAACCCUACGAUUAGUGGACAACCCGCUCUACCACCUGAGCCACAGUUGAGGGCGGUUACUUACUGAACUACGCACAGGUGAUUUUAAUAAUCUGAAUGUGGAGCUUAAGCAUGUGCGUAACCCGACUCUGAAUACCAG